UUAAAAAAUUUGCUUCUAUCUGCUAAUAUCUGGGUGAUAAAUAUAAUGACAUGGUUUAAGAGAGACAGCCUGUGUGGUGUUUCUGAUAAAUGACUUUGUCGUGACAGAGUACAAAAUGUGCUGGAAUGGUUUAUCAAACUGGGCAAGAGGGUGGAAACACAGUGCAGCAGAGUGAAGAUGGGAGUGAGGGAGCGAGGCUCGGCGAUGGAAGUGUGGCUGACCUUCACAACAAGAAGUGAGAAGGUAGCAGCUAGCAACAAUUGUGGCGGAACUAGAAUGCAGUCAAAUAAUGUCCAAUCCAGUCCCCUCCUCACAUCAACCGCAACAACUCAAGAAACUGAAGCUCAGUAGACAUCCUCCAAUCCCCAAGCUGAUUGCAUGUGCAGGGUCCUGGAGGAGCCCUGAAUGUGUCCACGCCAACCUGCUAGGCAACUCCAACCUCCCGUUAGGAUCCCCAGCCAAGAUCGGCAACUUAGCACUCCCCUGACUCUUCCUGCAUGCCAUGCAGCCACACCUUUACCAGGCAAUCCCCUCGGGGUAUUUGAAUGCACUGAAGCAAAAGCGACGCAUGCAAAGCAAGUACACGAAGAAACAAGAUGCUGUCAGUGCCCUGAGAAUCAACUCUCUUGGGAUUCCAUUAAAAUCCCAGUGUAUCACCCUGCAGAACCUCUAGCAGUGCCAUCAGCAAACUACAGCCUUACUAGCACAGUUCAAGGUGCUUCUGGCACGGAGAGCCAGCCCUGGCAGUUCACUUUGUCUGGAGGCAUGCUGCUCUCCUCCGUGGAUCUCGACGUGGCUGUUUCUGAAGCACACACCUUGGCCCGUGUUUGGCUCUCAGUGGUGCACGGGGUUGGUUUGUUCAGAAGAAACCGCACUGGCCCUUAUCCAUCCAGCAUUCCCACACUGUAAGGUUCCCGAUGACACCACGGGAAUCCUUGACUCAUGCCUGUGGGUGAGCUCAGCUGCAUAACAUUAAGUGAGUGCUCUGUCAUAAGAACACCCUGUGCCAUUCUGACAGGCAGCACACCAAGUCAAGCCACAGGGGAGUGGGGGGGGGGUUGGUACGGUCCUGCAUUGCUCCAGAUGAAUGAAACCUAUCUGCUGUUUUUAAUGUGCCUUUGCCCUUAAAGAAAAGAUCUGCUGUUCCCCGGUAUGGCGUUUUGAAAUUGUGCACACACUCGAAUACAGGCUUAGAUUACAAACCGUUGAAGAUGUCCUUCUGCUACUGUGGCCCCUGAGUACAGAACCACUCCAUGCCGCUGCAGUGCCAUUUAUUGCCAAAGAGAAUGACAUCACCAUCUCCUGUCCAAAACCUUCUUAAUACACCACAGCUGGUUUUCCCUGCCUUAACCCUGUCUAUAAAAAGCCGCAAAGACAGUGUUAUUCUCCAGAAGAGGGGAAAGAAUGUCACCAUUUAUUCAACACAGCAUCAGCUGGGUAUGAAGCUGCUAUUAAAGAGCCACUCAGUCGUCAUUCCUCAAUCCUCGGGGGAGAGGCAGGUAUGCGAGGAAUGAGAACACAGCCCACCCCCCCACCAGCACACCUGUCAACAGGGUUCCACAGUCCAGCCCUGCCACUCCAUCAACACACUGCCUUCCAGAGCAAACCAAAGCAACUAGAGCAUCUGAUGGCAGGUACAGUAUCUAUGCAUUUUCCUGAAAGGUGCUUGUUAGGUUGACUCUGGGGACCAGGUAAGGUAAAGGUAUGUAAGCUUCCACAUACACUUUACCUAUCAUUAUGUACACUUUGUAUUGACUUCCACUGAUGGAUUUGUGAUUCUCUUAUGGAUCAGGGAUCUCCUGAUUGCCACAAGUCUUUACAACGAUUGUGUACCAAUCAAUGGCAAUUAUCUUCUGCGUUAAUGUGUCGAUUUCAAAAUAAGAAAAGCUGUCCUUCACUUCACCUAUACACCUGAGUACCAAUCGUUUACAAUUAACUUCCACGCUGAGUGUUUGAAAAGCCGAUUGGAGCACAUGCCUUUCCUCUAUCUGUAGACUCUGAUCUGCAGCCCAGAUGCUGAACCUCCUGGUGGCCCCCAUGUUUUCAGCAGGAAGCCUAAAGAAAGGGGCUCUGUGCUCAAUGGAAUGGAAACCCAGUUUCCAUCAUGCGUACAGGCGCUUUCUAUAUAGGAAUCAUUCCCAGGACCCUGAUAGCCAGGUGUUGACCUCUUGUGCUAAAAAUACAGUCGUGUCUACACGUGCGACGCUGACAGAUCCCUGAUAUACAGCCCCGGCAACUUUGAACAGCACUAGCAGCAUUACCCUGGUUUUCCUUGAAUAAAUCAGCCACCUUUUUCUAACUUCAGUAGGGUUUGCUACUGUCGCUGGUAAAAUACCAGCUUGAAAUGCGCAAAAUUGAUUAUUUUUACAUUGAAUGCACCAUAUCAAAAUGUAUUGGAUGUAUAAUAUAGUUAUCAAACAUUAAAAAAAAAUCAGAAGUAUGAGCUCUUGGAACCAUGUCUACACUUUCAGUACAUGUGGUACACCAGUGGGUAGCCAAUGGGUGUAAGAAAGACGGCGUUUGCUCUACCAUUACUAGAAUCCUGGAUGAGUUGUGGUAGUUCUUAUAUCGGAGCACAGUGUUGUAGGGGGACAGGUUGAUGUGCUUAGACAUGAUUAUAAGAGCUCUAGUGAGGCCACAAAGGUGAUUUAAACUUUGCUAAAAGUCAAAAAAUAGAAAAUAAUUCAAAGUGAAUUGGAAGAGCAAUGCACAUGCUGGCCACGGUUGUGGGGCCGUGCAGCUUUAAGAUGCCCUGUACUGUAAAUGGCAAGCAUGCAUUGGUGGAGUUAAGAAUGACUGGUAAAUGGGCUAUGGAAUUGACCUAUAUUAGACUGUGUGGAUACUGUAGAUACUGCAGCCAGGCUGUGAGACUCCUGAGGAGGGUACAGAAUAUCGAAAGCACCUGUACGGAUGAUAGAAACAGGCUUUUCAUUGAGCAGAGGUCUUAAAGGAAUGUCUUAUGAAGAUAAGCUGAAAUAACUUAAUCUAUUUAGCCUAGAACAAAGAAGAAUUAUGAAGGGAUUAUUGAAAUCUUUAAAAUCUUAAAAGGAGUUGACAUUAAUCAAUACUUCAAGUGCCAUACGGAAACCAAGACCAGAGGACACCACUGGAAAUAAAGUGGAGAUAGACUUAGGACAGAGGGAAGGAGACUUCAUACACAGAGUGGAGAGGGUAAGGAAUGGGUAACCCAGUUGUGUUGCUGAGGAGGAACAGCUUGGAUCCUUUUAAGUUUUGAGAGCAAAAUCAGCUGCUAGGAACCAAACAAGCUUAGAUGGGCUGAAGGGGUUUCUCACGUUCCUCAGUGUUGUCAUGCUGUUAUCUUUGUCUUCUCGUUGAAUGAAUUGAAAACAAUGUGCAGUAAUUCUGCAGCUCACCAUGUUUAUAUCACUGUGUUUUCAUUUACUGUGUCUUUUUUCCCAUUCAUUGUGCUUCACAUGUCUACAGAUUGCAGUAGAUACAGAUGAAACCACUUCAAUAUAACCUCCACAAGCCCCAGAUUAAAACUGAGAUCAUCGCUCAGGAAUUCAGAACACUCCCUCUGUAAUUAAGAAGAAGGAAUUCAAGCUGUAUUCUAGAAACAUAUUCAAAACUCAUUUAAACUUCAUAAUAUCCACAACUGCAACACGGAGAUACGGUAUUUGGUACUGUAACAUCAUUUCAAUUAGACGCUGAGUCUGCACGUUACUGAGGUUUGAGGAUAUGGUAUGAACAUUGCUGCAGAAAUGCAGUAGUACAAGUCUUUGGUAUUUGCACAAUAAUUCUGUGGCCCCAUAGUUGCAGAGCAUUGGUACAGCGGGGUUGAAAAUGUAUGAAUGACUCAUACCUUCGCUUUGUUUUUAUUCUACAACCUGCCCUGAGAACAUCAAUGUUCACUUUGUAAAAUAUGUCAUCUAGAGCCCUGAGACUGUGUACGAAAGCCCUGGUGUCUGGGUUGAUGUGGUCUGCUGUGACAGCUGAGGUUUGGCGGGGGUGUAUACACUACAGUACAGUUUAUAACAUGUUUGAUGUGCGCUUAUCCCUGCUGCGGAAGGUCGUUUUGGGGCAGACAGCUUAACUGCUGCAAUGGUUCUGAAUCUGAAUGUUUGUGGUGUUCUUUAGUGCUGUCUUCCCCUGCUCUCGCACCGAGGCGUCACGACAACAGCACUGGCAUCAUGGGGAAAACCCUGCCCUGGAUUAUGGGAUGCCAGACCCAAGAUCCAGCCGUAUACUGCGGCAGAAAGCUAAGCCAAGUAGAUUAUAGAAUUAGUGUGACUCCCUAAGACUUCCGUGUCGAUCAUGCAGUGCUUGUGUGGCGUGGUGUGCUGGCAGGGAAGAUUCGCGAGGGGCUUGUCUUCAUAAACAGUCUUCAACCGAGUCAAAGCGAAUAUAAAAAAGAUCAA